AGUGAACGCUGGCGGUAGGCCUAACACAUGCAAGUCGAACGGCAGCACAGUAAGAGCUUGCUCUUACGGGUGGCGAGUGGCGGACGGGUGAGGAAUACAUAGGAAUCUACUUUUUCGUGGGGGAUAACGUAGGGAAACUUACGCUAAUACCGCAUACGACCUACGGGUGAAAGCAGGGGAUCUUCGGACCUUGCGCGAUUGAAUGAGCCGAUGUCGGAUUAGCUAGUUGGCGGGGUAAAGGCCCACCAAGGCGACGAUCCGUAGCUGGUCUGAGAGGAUGAUCAGCCACACUGGAACUGAGACACGGUCCAGACUCCUACGGGAGGCAGCAGUGGGGAAUAUUGGACAAUGGGCGCAAGCCUGAUCCAGCCAUGCCGCGUGGGUGAAGAAGGCCUUCGGGUUGUAAAGCCCUUUUGUUGGGAAAGAAAAGCAGCAGGUUAAUACCCCGCUGUUCUGACGGUACCCAAAGAAUAAGCACCGGCUAACUUCGUG
rnacentral:rRNA from 1 species